GAUGAACGCUGGCGGCGUGCUUAAUACAUGCAAGUCGAGCGAACGGACGAGAAGCUUGCUUCUCUGAUGUUAGCGGCGGACGGGUGAGUAACACGUGGAUAACCUACCUAUAAGACUGGGAUAACUUCGGGAAACCGUAGCUAAUACCGGAUAAUAUUUUGAACCGCAUGGUUCAAAAGUGAAAGACGGUCUUGCUGUCACUUAUAGAUGGAUCCGCGCUGCAUUAGCUAGUUGGUAAGGUAACGGCUUACCAAGGCAACGAUGCAUAGCCGACCUGAGAGGGUGAUCGGCCACACUGGAAGUGAGACACGGUCCAGACUCCUACGGGAGGCAGCAGUAGGGAAUCUUCCGCAAUGGGCGGAAGCCUGACGGAGCAACGCCGCGUGAGUGAUGAAGGUCUUCGGAUCGUAAAACUCUGUUAUUAGGGAAAAACAUAUGUGUAAGUAACUGUGCACAUCGUGACGGUACCUAAUCAGAAAGCCACGGCUAACUACGUG
rnacentral:rRNA from 1 species